ACAGCCGUGAGUCAGCCCUGCCGAGCAUCGCAGGAGGAGAGAUGCGCUCCCGAGACUAAAAACAAAAACAAAGCCCCACCGAGCGUUCCCAGCGUGAGAGGGCGGUUUGUCCUCUGCCUCGUCUCGGCGGGCGCGAGGUGCCUGCUCCCGAGCCCUUUCCCCCCCCCGAGGCCCGGCGCCAUGGCUCCUUUCGCCGAGCGGAAAGCUGCGAUUCCUGCAAAUUAUCCCGGUGCCGGCAGCCAGCGCUUACGAGCGAGACCCCAAAUGCCACGAGACGUGAAAUGCACUUGGGAGAACCGCGAGGAGCAAUUUCUGUGAAGUUAUUUCACUGAUGUCUUCUCCUGAAAUUGCAGCAGCUCCAUCGGGCUACCUGCGUUCUCGAAGUCUACUAAACUACAGAAAACUGCAAAUGCUGUCUGCCAACACAAAAUCAACUCUUUGUAUGUAACGACAAAUAUAUUGUCACUUUUCAAAAGCAUA